AGUAUACAGUCUGGUGGCCAGCAUGGCAUCGUGCUCAGCAGAACUUCUCCCUCCUCCUCGCUGUUGUGGUCCAGUCCAAACAUCCCAGCCCCAACAUUCCCUGGUUCCCCAGCUCUGUGACAUCACAGACAGCCUUCUGUCUACUCUGCCAGCUGCAGUCUCCACCUGUGCUGAAUGACCUCCCCCACCCCCGCCCGCAGCGCCAGAAGCCUUCCUGUUUGACCUCAUUCAUCUUUCUUCUGAUCAAAGUGCAAUGGGGUCACUAGAGACCUGAAGUUCAUACCCACUGGGGACAACCCAAGGGCCCUCUUCUUUGGUUUCUGCUUCCCUCUAGAGGGGGUCACUGGUAGUGCAAGAAGUGCCACACAUCCCCUAGGCAUCUCCCUACAUAUUCAUCAGCAUCAGAACCUUCAUCUGUAUUUAUUAAGCCUUUACGACACACCAGAAAGCUGUGCUAAGCACUUUCCAUCAUUAUUUAAUCCUCAGAACUACCUUCUAUUGUAGAUACUAUUAUUCUCAUCCCCAUUUUACAGGUCAGAAAACAGAGAUUCAAAGAGGUCAUAAAUUCUAAAUUUCCUAGCUAACAGUAGAUCUCCAAGAAUUAUACCCCCAGAGAAUGUGCUUGUAACUGAUACACUGCUCUCCCUAAGAGCCUUUUCAUUUCUUGAAGAGGGUUCAAAAACUCAAAGCUCUCUGCUGUCAACACUUAGAGGAGAAAGUGGUUCUACUACCCUCUUUCUUGCAAAAUUUUCUAGUAAAGAUGUGGAGAGAGCAUCAGCACGGGGUGUCAACAAACCUGCGCUUCAGAUCGCUGCUGAUAAUACGGACGAUCUCCACGGUUUAUUUUUAAUUGAAAAAAAUCAAGGAAACAGCCCAGCCCAGUGAACUGGGCUCAAACUCAAGACUGGCUGAUUCAACAAGGCACCCCUGCAGACAAAGCUGGCAGAGUAGAAGUUUCAACUCCUUUCCAUGGGGACUGUCAGGAGCCCUAUGCCAUCAAUGACUCCAAGGUUCCCAGUCAAACCCAGGAGCACAAGCCAUCGACCCAAAAUUUGCUGCUUCAGAAGGAUGAGCUUGACAGACAAAAUCCCAAGCGCAUUAACGCAGUCUCCCAUUUGCCUUCGAGAACACCCCUGAUCCAGACAAAAAAGAGCACUUCCUCCAGCAGCAGUGAGUUUGAGGAUCUGAAUGCAUAUGCUUCCCAAAGAAAUUUUUACAAGAGAAACUUAAACCGCUACUGCCAGGAGCACUGGCCAUUCCAGCCAUGCCUCACUGGGAGGCCCUGAGCAUUCUAGCCGGCGGCUGCACAGCUGCUGGGGCAUCUCCAUGAGGAAGAGGGCGGUGGACAGGAGUCAUGAAGACUAAUUCGGAAACUCCCCUGAAGGAGGAGAAGACAUCUGAGCCAUCCUUGUGCCACCAAGCAAGAGUCACUCCAGCUCCUAAAAAGCCACCAUGGGAAGAGCUGCCUCCAAUUAAAGUUCUUGAUUGCACCAGA